CUUGAGCACUGUGUUUUUCCUUAGUGGGGGAAAAUAACAGUAAAAUAAGUAAGUAAGUAAUCUAUGAGAAGGAAGAGAGACAGGAGAGAGAUGCUCAAGAUGGAAGGAGGGUAAGUGUGUUUAUCAUUACAUUGUUCAAGGGAAAGUCUAAGAAACAGAAUCCAAAAAGUGAUCCCUCCUUCCCCCUGUUGCAGGCAAGCAAUGUGAAAAUGUGUUAUAUUUUAUUGCAGCUGGCACUUGCAACAUCCCAAGAUUUAGCACUGUCCAUGUUCUGCAACUGGAGCAUUUGGACAUCGAUCGAAAGCUCAUCCUUGCUUCCCUGGCUGUGCAGCUUCUCACUGUCCUUGGCUAACACAAUGAGAGGCUUUGACUCUGUAGGGGAUUGUCAUCACGUGCUCAUACCGCAAGCAUGAUGAGCAUUUGGCUACAGUUACUUUCUGUGGUUUAGCCUCAGACAAAAGCAGUGCAUACUGACCUCCUUAAUUGCUCCUCCACCCCUGUGAAAACAUAACACAAACAGCUGCUUGGCUGAGGUCUGGAACUGGAGCAGGUGUGCCAGUUAUUGCCUAAGCAGAGUACACAGGGUGGCUGAGGUAACAAGGGUUGGACAAUACUGUGAACCAUAGCUGGGUGCAGAAUUGGCAGAGUCAGUUUAUUUCUGACUCCCUGGCAUAUUAAGAAUUCAGAUCUCUUGGCAUAGCCAUGGUCAAACAGAGAAGCACAAGAUAUAAGCCUAUAUCCAAUUGCUAGUUUGAACUACAGAAGAUCUAUUGAAUCCCCAAAAUUUGCAUAAGUAUUGCCUUACCGUUCAGUAGUUUAUUCAGUGAGUGUACUAUAGUCGGGACCACCAAGUGAAUUCGGGCCAGUGGCUUUCAUAACACAGAAACUGGGCAGCAGCCAUGUUAUACUAAAACAAACAAACAAACAAACAAAACCCCAACCACUAUAACUUUCAUCCCCAGGAUUACCGAGAACAUAUUUAGAGGUGCCUCUCUCUUCACUCUGUGUGAAUAGUUAUGAACUGUUACACUUCCUUUUUUCCCUCUUACUUUGGAGAUUACUGAAGGCAUUCACUCAAGUUCCUGUGUUGUUGAAGACUUGGUGUAGGAAAGGGUGUGGAUGUGAAGACUCUUCAGUUAUGACUUCCCUGUCUCCUGACUACACCUUGUACCACUGUGGAUCCUGUAAACAACAUGUUCUGCCUCUGAUUCAGCCCAAAUACUGUAAAAUGGUGAUGCACCACAGGUGGCACAGAGGGACACACGUGUGAACAGCCACCCAGUGAUGGAGUAGAAGGCUGUGGAUCCUCCUGAAAGAUCCAGAGCAGACUAGUUGUGCCCUCUCAUGAAGACUGUCAUAUUCUGGAUUUUGUGCUACAGAUUGGACAACAUCUGUACUGUUUGCAGCAGACUUGUGGAUUUGGCCCUGGGUCACCUGGAAUUCCUUCCCAGAGCAUGGGAGAAGGAUGUUUUAUUUGGCCCAUGCAGACAGGGUGCCAGUGUACAAUGCUUAAUAAGAUGGGUGGUGAGCAUGCACAGCACGGUAGCGGCUUUGCGCACCAACACACACAGCAUUUCCCCCCAGUCGAUCUUCAGUAAGGGCAAAACCACUUCUGGCUAAUUGCCAGGGGAGUGUGAUUAUGCGUUUCACAUUUUUGGGCACAUUUAGCAUGUACACUCAUCAAAUAACUAUAAAAGGAAAAUCACACUACAUUGUUGAUGUAGGUUAUCAGCUUUUUUCUUUUCUUUUCUUCUCUAUUGUCAGUGUAGAAGUAAUGGUGGUCACAGAUAAUCCUUUCCUUUAUGGGACAGGAACAGUGAAGGAGCCUGCAUAAAUAUACAUAUUGACCAAUUUCCCUUGCAUAUUUUUCCAGCACUGGAAUGGAAAUCUGAUGCACAUCUCUUUCUGCAAAUGUAUGAAAUAAAUAGGAAUAUUGACUUUAUUCCUUGUUGGCAAAAGUCAGUGUUCAUGGACGGGGUCAAUUAACUGUUAAAUGUAUGCGGUAUGAACAGUUCUUUCCAUCAUUCUGUGAAGUGCUUGACUGGAUCCAAACUGAAUCCAUUCAACUUUCCAGCUCAGUUCUGUAGUAAUGUCUCUUUAAUUGGUGGUUUUAGGGGGGAAGCUGGUAUUUUUCCAAAACCGUGUUCCCUUUACUUGGAUUGUUUUCUUUCUUACCCCAUUUUACUGUGUGUGCUAAAGUUUUGAGAAACGCAUACAAUAUGUGCACAGUCUUUUUAAAAAAUGUAUAAUAGAUGUCUAUCUGUUAAAUUAAAUAGAAUGCAGGCUGCCUUGUCUGGGUCUCGAAUUUCUUAACAGCAUGAAACACACCCUUUCAAAUACUUUGAGACUUGCUGUUCCUUAGUCUUAAUCUAGGCAUUGAUUAGUGCUUAAUGAACCUUGCAAAGCGCCUUUAUUUAUCACUGCCACAGUUUGCUGUAGUCUCUAGAUAGCAGUCUCCAGUUUUUCAUUUUUUGUGUUGAUAGCAUGGUUGUCAUGAUGGAGUGCAAAUUUAGAAGCUGUGCAAGAUGCUUAUAUUCCCUCUCCCAUGAAUCAAAUUCUGCAGCAAAUAAAGUUGUAUAUAUUUUUCUCUCUUAAAAUAAUAGAAGCAAGGGAUAUGCAUUGGAUUUAAUUGAAUCCCAAAUCUCAAGGCAAAUCAGGCCUAGUUGCUUCCUGAGGCGAAGGUGGCUUUCCUCUAAAAACAACCAGAACUGAAGCUGAACUCACACAAAGGUUUGUGCAUGAUUAGGAUUUGGAAAGGCAGACAGUCUGUCUGAAAAAAGA